rnacentral:rRNA from 1 species
GACGAACCGUGCGAACGUUAUUCGGAAUCACUGGGCUUAAAGCGCGUGUAGGCGGGUCGGCGCGUCGGCCGCUGAAAUCCCCCGGCUCAACCGGGGAAGGGGCGCCGAGACGGCCGGCCUGGAGGGACGUAGGGGGGGCUGGAACUUCCGGUGGAGCGGUGAAAUGCGUUGAGAUCGGAAGGAACGCCCGUGGCGAAAGCGAGCCCCUGGACGUCUACUGACGCUGGAGGAGACGAAAGCGGUGGGGAGCGAACAGG